GGUCCAUUUGUCUAGUGGUUAGGACGUCAGGUUUUGAUAUCAAAUUCUGAACUUCUGAAAGCCCCGGUUCGAUCCCGGGAUGGACCU
rnacentral:tRNA from 1 species